rnacentral:rRNA from 1 species
GAUGAACGCUGGCGGCGUGCUUAACACAUGCAAGUCGAACGAUGAAGCUCAGCUUGCUGGGUGGAUUAGUGGCGAACGGGUGAGUAACACGUGAGUAACCUGCCCUUAACUCUGGGAUAAGCCUGGGAAACUAGGUCUAAUACCGGAUAGGAGCGUCCACCGCAUGGUGGGUGUUGGAAAGAUUUAGCGGUUUUGGAUGGAUUCUCGGCCUAUCAGCUUGUUGGUGAGGUAAUGGCUCACCAAGGCGACGACGGGUAGCCGGCCUGAGAGGGUGACCGGCCACAAUGGGACUGCGACACGGACCAGACUCCUAUGGGAGGCAGCAGUGGGGAAUAUUGCACAAUGGGCGCAAGCCUGAUGCAGCGACGCCGCGUGAGGGAUGACGGCCUUCGGGUUGUAAACAUCUUUCAGUAGGGAAGAAGCGAACGUGACGGUACCUGCAGAAGAAGCACCGGCUAACUACGUG